rnacentral:rRNA from 1 species
GAUGAACGCUAUGCUACAGGCUUAACACAUGCAAGUCGAGGGGCAGCAUUUCAGUUUGCUUGCAAACUGGAGAUGGCGACCGGCGCACGGGUGAGUAACACGUAUCCAACCUGCCGAUAACUCGGGGAUAGCCUUUCGAAAGAAAGAUUAAUACCCGAUGGUAUAAUCAGACCGCAUGGUCUUGUUAUUAAAGAAUUUCGGUUAUCGAUGGGGAUGCGUUCCAUUAGGCAGUUGGUGAGGUAACGGCUCACCAAACCUUCGAUGGAUAGGGGUUCUGAGAGGAAGGUCCCCCACAUUGGAACUGAGACACGGUCCAAACUCCUACGGGAGGCAGCAGUGAGGAAUAUUGGUCAAUGGGCGCAGGCCUGAACCAGCCAAGUAGCGUGAAGGAUGACUGCCCUAUGGGUUGUAAACUUCUUUUAUAUGGGAAUAAAGUUUUCCACGUGUGGAAUUUUGUAUGUACCAUAUGAAUAAGGAUCGGCUAACUCCGUGCCAGCAGCCGCGGUAAUACGGAGGAUCCGAGCGUUAUCCGGAUUUAUUGGGUUUAAAGGGAGCGUAGGUGGACAGUUAAGUCAGUUGUGAAAGUUUGCGGCUCAACCGUAAAAUUGCAGUUGAUACUGGCUGUCUUGAGUACAGUAGAGGUGGGCGGAAUUCGUGGUGUAGCGGUGAAAUGCUUAGAUAUCACGAAGAACUCCGAUUGCGAAGGCAGCUCACUGGACUGCAACUGACACUGAUGCUCGAAAGUGUGGGUAUCAAACAGGAUUAGAUACCCUGGUAGUCCACACAGUAAACGAUGAAUACUCGCUGUUUGCGAUAUACAGUAAGCGGCCAAGCGAAAGCAUUAAGUAUUCCACCUGGGGAGUACGCCGGCAACGGUGAAACUCAAAGGAAUUGACGGGGGCCCGCACAAGCGGAGGAACAUGUGGUUUAAUUCGAUGAUACGCGAGGAACCUUACCCGGGCUUAAAUUGCAUUUGAAUAUAUUGGAAACAGUAUAGCCGUAAGGCAAAUGUGAAGGUGCUGCAUGGUUGUCGUCAGCUCGUGCCGUGAGGUGUCGGCUUAAGUGCCAUAACGAGCGCAACCCUUAUCUUUAGUUACUAACAGGUCAUGCUGAGGACUCUAGAGAGACUGCCGUCGUAAGAUGUGAGGAAGGUGGGGAUGACGUCAAAUCAGCACGGCCCUUACGUCCGGGGCUACACACGUGUUACAAUGGGGGGUACAGAAGGCAGCUACCUGGUGACAGGAUGCUAAUCCCAAAAGCCUCUCUCAGUUCGGAUCGAAGUCUGCAACCCGACUUCGUGAAGCUGGAUUCGCUAGUAAUCGCGCAUCAGCCAUGGCGCGGUGAAUACGUUCCCGGGCCUUGUACACACCGCCCGUCAAGCCAUGAAAGCCGGGGGUACCUGAAGUACGUAACCGCAAGGAGCGUCCUAGGGUAAAACUGGUAAUUGGGGCUAAGU